AUGACGCCGCCUGGGGGUUUAAGGCGCACACAUGCCUCCGGGUUCCGUGUUGUGAGAGAGAACGUGCAAAGGGGAGGUGGUGGUGGCGGGCCAGUCGCUCAGUCGUGUCUGACUCUCGCCACCCCACGGACUGGAGCCGGCCGGGCUCCUCCGUGCAUGGGAUUCUCCAGGCAAGAAUACUGGGGUGGGCUGCCAUUCCCUUCUCCAGAUCUUCCCCACCCAGGGAUCGAACCCACGUCUGCUGCGUCGCAGGCAGUUUCUUUACCAGCUGAGCCCUCAGGGGAGCCCACAGCCAAAAGGAAGCCUCUCAAAUCUCAGGAUGAGCCCCAGAGCCCGGGGAGGAAGGGAGAAGGGGGAGGGCUCUUCAACAAGAGCGAGCCCCACUGCUAUGAACUCAGGGCCGCUAACCUGCAUCUGGGCUUUAAGACGCCGGCGGCUCCCAGCGGCGCUCACAUGACCGUCGGAGGCAGCGGGAGCCACGGUACCGCCCAGGCUGGUCCAGGCCACCGCAGAGCCCCUCUGCUGGGCCCUGGGGUUUGGGGCACGCCAAGCCCCCAGCUCCACGUAGUCAAAUCCGGUAGGCCAGCCGUCCUGAGAGCAGGUUUGAAGUUGGGUCACAGAGGCUGGAAGAACUUGGCUGAUAUUUCACCCCAGGAGUGGGGGCUCUCCGACCAUCAAAGAGAAUGUUCCUCAUCUGCAGAGGUGGCCUCCAGACAAGGCCUGGUUUCCGUGGCAAUCUGCUUUCACCCCAGGGCUGCAGGGCCAGGCUCUGGCUUCUGCCGGGAUGGGGACAGCAGGUGGCAGGGAGCCCAUCACGGCCUGGAAGGUGUCAGCGAGGUGCGGCCCUCCCGGGGGUGGAUGUUCCAGGAAGCGGGACCAGGCACGCCCAGCGCCCACCCCCCAGGUGGGGGGCACCUCAGGGCUGAGGCCCAGCCCCGUCCCAGCCAGCCCCUUCCCUCCUCGUCUCAGGAUUGUUUUCCCAAGCGCCUUGCUCGGUGGCCUUGGCCCCUGGCUUGA
rnacentral:lncRNA from 1 species